rnacentral:rRNA from 1 species
GUAGGUGGCAAGCGUUGUCCGGAAUUAUUGGGCGUAAAGCGCGCGCAGGCGGUUCUUUAAGUCUGAUGUGAAAGCCCACGGCUCAACCGUGGAGGGUCAUUGGAAACUGGAGAACUUGAGUACGGAAGAGGAAAGCGGAAUUCCACGUGUAGCGGUGAAAUGCGUAGAGAUGUGGAGGAACACCAGUGGCGAAGGCGGCUUUCUGGUCUGUAACUGACGCUGAGGCGCGAAAGCGUGGGGAGCAAACAGGGAUUAGAUACCCUGGUAGUCCACGCCGUAAACGAUGAGUGCUAAGUGUUAGGGGGUUUCCGCCCCCUUAGUGCUGCAGCUAACGCAUUAAGCACUCCGCCUGGGGAGUACGGCCGCAAGGCUG